rnacentral:rRNA from 1 species
UACGUAGGGGGCAAGCGUUGUCCGGAUUUAUUGGGCGUAAAGAGCGUGUAGGCGGCCAGACAGGUCAGCUGUGAAAACUCGAGGCUCAACCUCGAGACGUCGGUUGAAACCGUUUGGCUAGAGUCCGGAAGAGGAGAGUGGAAUUCCCGGUGUAGCGGUGAAAUGCGCAGAUAUCAGGAGGAACACCGGUGGCGAAGGCGGAUCUCUGGGCCUGUCCUGACGCUGAGACGCGAAAGCGUGGGGAGCAAACAGG